rnacentral:rRNA from 1 species
AUUGAACGCUGGCGGCAUGCCUAACACAUGCAAGUCGAGCGGAUGAAGGGAGCUUGCUCCUGGAUUCAGCGGCGGACGGGUGAGUAAUGCCUAGGAAUCUGCCUGGUAGUGGGGGAUAACGUCCGGAAACGGGCGCUAAUACUGCAUACGUCCUGAGGGAGAUAGUGGGGGAUCUUCGGACCUCACGCUAUCAGGUGAGCCUAGGUCGGAUUAGCUAGUUGGUGGGGUAAAGGCCUACCAAGGCGACGAUCCGUAACUGGUCUGAGAGGAUGAUCAGUCACACUGGAACUGAGACAGGGUCCAGACUCCUAAGGGAGGCAGCAGUGGGGAAUAUUGGGCAAUGGGCGAAAACCUGAUACAGCGAGGGCGCGUGUGUGAAGAAGGUCUUCGGAUUGUAAAGCACUUUAAGUUGGGAGGAAGGGCAGUAAGUUAAUACCUUGCUGUUUUGACGUUGCCAACAGAAGAAGCACCGGCUAACUUCGUG